rnacentral:rRNA from 1 species
AACGAACGCUGGCGGCAUGCCUAACACAUGCAAGUCGAACGAUUGCCUUCGGGUGAUAGUGGCGCACGGGUGCGUAACGCGUGGGAAUCUGCCCUUAGGUUCGGAAUAACAGCUGGAAACGGCUGCUAAUACCGGAUGAUAUCGCGAGAUCAAAGAUUUAUCGCCUGAGGAUGAGCCCGCGUUGGAUUAGGUAGUUGGUGGGGUAAAGGCCUACCAAGCCGACGAUCCAUAGCUGGUCUGAGAGGAUGAUCAGCCACACUGGGACUGAGACACGGCCAAGACUCCUACGGGAGGCAGCAGUGGGGAAUAUUGGACAAUGGGCGCAAGCCUGAUCCAGCAAUGCCGCGUGAGUGAUGAAGGCCCUAGGGUUGUAAAGCUCUUUUACCCGGGAAGAUAAUGACUGUACCGGGAGAAUAAGCCCCGGCUAACUCCGUG